CCUACGGGAGGCAGCAGUGAGGAAUAUUGGUCAAUGGCCGGAAGGCUGAACCAGCCAAGCAGCGUGAAGGAUGACUGCCCUCUGGGUGGUAACCUUCUUUUAUAAAGGAAUAAAACGAGGCACGUGUGCCUUUUUGCAUGUACUUUAUGAAUAAGGAUCGGCUAACUCCGUGCCAGCAGCCGCGGUAAUACGGAGGAUCCGAGCGUUAACCGGAUUUAUUGUGUUUAAAGGGAGCGUAGAUGGGUUGUUAAGUCAGUUGUGAAAGUUUGCGGCUCAACCGUAAAAUUGCAAUUGAUACUGGCAGUCUAGAGUACAGUAGAGGUAGGCGGAAUUCGUGGUGUAGCAGUGAAAUGCGUAGAUAUCACGAAGAACCCCGAUUGCGAAGGCAGCUUACUAACCUGUGACUGACGUUGAUGCUCGAAAGUGUGGGUAGCAAACAGGAUUAGAUACCCGAGUAGUC
rnacentral:rRNA from 1 species